rnacentral:rRNA from 1 species
UACGUAGGGGGCUAGCGUUGUCCGGAAUCAUUGGGCGUAAAGCGCGUGUAGGCGGUCCGGUAAGUCCGCUGUGAAAGUCGGGGGCUCAACCCUCGAAUGCCGGUGGAUACUGUCGGGCUAGAGUACGGAAGAGGCGAGUGGAAUUCCUGGUGUAGCGGUGAAAUGCGCAGAUAUCAGGAAGAACACCUAUGGCGAAGGCAGCUCUCUGGGACGGUACUGACGCUGAGACGCGAAAGCGUGGGGAGCGAACAGG